GGCGCAGCCGCCUGGUUAGAGCCACGGCUCGGUCCACGCACAGUCCUCCCGCUCCGAGCUUCACGGCGCCCCCGUUUCCACACCCGGGGCUCAUCGGCGCCGUCCGCCUUUUUAAAAACCCGCUGGGCGCUAACGACGCUGAGAGCGGCUGCUCGCCCCUUCCCCCUUCAGUAAGAGGUGCUGUGCCGUCGUGCGCGCCCAGCCCCGGAUGCUCCCCGCCCGGUGCUCAGCCCACCGUCAGAGCCGGUCCAGCCCGCACGGAGAAGCAUACGGGACAGAAGGAGAGAGGUGCAGCUCUCAGUCGUGCUGUCAGUGCCAGAACUCUCAGGACUGAGGAUAGGGCAGUGACAUUCGGGAGAGUACAUCGUCUCCAAGAAAGUCUCAACACCGGAGGCAAGACCAAGACAUAUGUCUUUACCUAUUUACUCAUUUCUCAUAGAAAAACCAGAAUAAGAAUCAAAAACAUGGUGUCGCGGAAGGAGGAAACUCAAGCGGAUGCUGAUACCUGUUCCCUCCAAAGAGAGGGAUGAAACCAAACUCUGCAGAGAGCAAGAAACAAACGCCGUGCUUUGCUCGGAAACACUCCUCGGAAAGAGGCUGAGGUGAAACCCGAGGCGGUGACUUCAUUGCCCUCCCUUCAGAAGCCUUGUGCCAGCAUGCAAAAGGAAAUUCUCCAGAAGAGAGACCUGCUACUACUGUUUACAUCGCCAUGCUUCCAAAGUUUUUUUUCUUUUGUUAAAAUGCCUCCAUUCAUGAUUUAGCGCAAAAGAUAAAUUGCCCAUCUAUCCUCCUGUUAGAACCUGUCAGAAUCACCCAAAAGGAUCACUUCACCCUACAGCCACAUCAUGAUCACUGACAGAUUGCCCACGGUUCUAUGAAGUGGACAUUUUAUGGUCUGUACCUCAAGGAAAUACAGAAAGUUGUGGACAAACUUAUUCUGGGCCUACGCAUUUGGUGUAGGAUGUGUUGCGACUGUUUAGCCAUACAUCUAAAUGGUACAUCUCUACUGCCCCUAGAGAGCAACAAUGCUUCCCAAAUUUGCUUUCCUGAAAGCCCCGGGGCAGAAGGCCAGGACACCAUUAAGGGUUCCGAGGGACCCUGAGGGAAAGACGCAGCUGAUUAUCAACACAGCAAGUGAGGCAGUGGCAGCCAAUCAUGACAGACAUCACUGUCUUAGGAAAGAGGACGUAAGAAGCUCACCUCUGCCCAGCUGUCAUUCUCAUGGUAUAUGCCCUGGACCAGAUCCCCAAUGGCGCUGGAGAUCAGUUCCACCACCUGCAAGGAGACAUAGAUAUUGCUGCUGAGGUUCCUCUUACUGAGAGACUUAUCAUGAGAGAGAUCCUGCAGAGAACCAGGAAGGCAAUGUUGUUGAACCUUUGAUUGAGACGGUCUAAGUGCACGCUCUGUAAAAGUGAAGAAGUCAGCUUCGCAUGAGGAAAGAAGUAUAUUCCCCAAGGUACUGAGCAAUGCAGCUAGGUGUCCAAGACUCAAACCCAGGAACCAAUCCACAAACACCUGCAGAUUGUCAGGAGCACAACCUUUCUCUAGAAGGUUCUCUCAAGUAAAACACCUCUACAUAAGGGCAAUCACGAGAUCAAUGGGUGAAAACUUUUAUCGGAACUAAACUGAAGGUCCCUAAAAAGAGGGGUCAGCGGGGGUGGAGAGAAUGCUUUUCAUGUUUAACCAACAAAACCAACACCUUCCACCCGAGAGGCUUUUAAAAAGGUCUGUAAUCUUUAAAGCUGCUCUGCGGAACAGCUUGUGCUGUACUUUAGCUAGGCUGGGACAGAUGUGGACACAGGUGUGUGCAUGAGAAAUACUGAGAUUGAUGUGGAUGGAUGAGGCCGGGCCUUAGCCCUCUCAUUGACAGCUCAUUAUCACGUCUACACUACGACUGCUGUUUUCAUAAAGAGCAUUUACACCGAGCUUUGUUAAUUCACAUCUUAUUUAUAACCCCACCCCCCCAUUCCAAAUGUUUAAACUGUGUCGUACAGAUGUAUUGGGUUUCCUGUCUACUGUGCCACACUUACUGGGGAGCAGCUGGCUAAUCAAAAUACAGAAAGGUCAGUUGGGUGGAAAGGUUCAUGAGGCCCCAGGGUGGGCUGGAGACAUCUACCAAGGGUAGCAGGUGUGGAUACAGGAAGGCACUGGUGGGGACACAGGACCCUAUAGACUCAGGAAGGCCAUGCUGUGAAAUGAGGAAAGCCCCGGUGACCCCAAAAAGGUGAGGAGUGGCCAGUUUGCCCACCCUUGGGACUGUGGAAAGCAAAGACUAUCAAGGAAUCAAUCAUACAAGCUUUUAACCCCAGAUGCUACAAAGCCCUAGACUGGGACCAGUGAGAGAAUCCUACUCACAUCAUUCACACAGAGCAGAAAGGCAGUGUGCCUACACCUAUUUUUAGCUGCUUCCCUGGGCCCACCCCUGCCAGAUACUGCCAUGCCUCCUGAACCACAUGGCAGGAGAACGGUGUCCAGAUCUCUCUGCUGCCUGACCCCGGCAUAGAGCUGGGAGGGGGCGGCUCCUCCACAGCUGUGUGCCAAAAGUUGGCACCCCGGAAAUAGUGCCAAACAGCUGCAGGUUCACAUCCCAGCGAGGAGAAGAUGGUGCAGUCACACUGGCAUUUUCACAGUGUCUCGCUCUUUUGCUGCCAGAGUUUACAGCUUUAAAAAGGAGCCCUAAAUCCACUUGCAGCUACACACUGCUUCCUGCAGAGGGGGUUACACUUUUCUCAAAUUCACAUAGUUUUUAUCCUGAGAAUUACUAAGCUACUUAGAAAAUAUUCAUCGUAGACGAUAAACCAUGCAUGUGGGUCCUGUGGUGCCGACCAGCCUCAACAAGCGGCUGAUCGUUUUGCCCAUAACAGGCAGCUUAAUUGGCUUGGCCUGGUUCUCUCAAGGUUUUAAGUCAUGCUCAAAAAAAAACUGUAAGUGGAACUCAAAUCCUCAGUCAUCAUCUAUAAACAGCAAGAAAAUGAAGAAUAUAUUAUAGACUUUUAAAAAAUGAAAUCCACCCUUUUUCAUUAAAUCCAGACCUUUUUUAUUUGAGAGGUUGGUAUAAACACAACUCUUUCUGAGUCCCUGUGCCCUCUGGGUAACCAGAUCCUUGAGGAAAUAUUGAGGCAAUCCGAGCUCUCGCGCAAACCAAAAGGACAAUGCCCCUACAGUGUUACCACAUGUGCUGUCUUAGUUAGCUUGGGAAUAGAGAAAAUGGGGGGGUUUUAAGGAAAGUAUCAGAUAAGCGUUAUUCCCAAAUCCAAGCGGAUCGGGUAUCGCCAGUGGGUCUGUGAAGGGCCGAAACCUGAGACGUGCCUGCGGAUCGUGUUACCGUUUAUACAAGCGCUGUCCCAGGAUUCCUCUCAAGGCCGGGACACAUAAUACAGAUCAAUCACUCACUAAAAUAUGUUCUGGUUUGUGAAACGCCCAGAGGCCCGGGAGCAGAGAGGAAUGUGCCAGGACCCGCCGGCUUGCGCCGAAUGUCACUGUGCCGGCCCCUCCUCUAUGUGUGCGUGUGAAUUGGACAACAGCGGUGACAGAUUGUCCACAGGAUUACACCGCCGUGGCAGCUACUUUGCAUGCAAGCAUGCGCACGCACACACACCCCCACCUCCGAGUGCACACGGUGGAGAGUCACAACCUGCCAAUGUGUCACCCCUCCAUGGGUGACAACCUUUGUCAGAGUCACCAAGGCCCAGCAUCCAUCCAACAAAUCCUUCAUGGCGCAUCAGACCCCCAUAGCUGCUAAGGAUGCCGUCAUUUUCCACUUUGAGCGCCAGAGGCAAACAGGCAGUCAUGCCCCGUGAACCUCAAUCAGUCAAUCAAGUUGUUUUUCAAAUGUAUAGCAAAUUUGUCCAUCAAAAUAACUCUGAACAACUCCGAGACAAAAAUUAUGGGGGAAAAUGUGUGAAAAUAAAUCUGUCAAUCAAUCAAUCAGUUAAAUUUUCUUAUACUGCUCAUUUCUCCAAUGAAGCUGUCAGGAACAGCCUUACAAUUACCAGUUUGGGGGCCUGGGAAAAGCUGAAAAUGAUUCCCUAAGAGCUUAUAGGAAUGGUAUUGAUUAAUGCUCCUGGAAAAGAAGAAAACACCAAGUGCAGUAAGCCUGAAAUGACUGGAUUCUUCUGCGACCCAAGUGUUUGGAUAGAGCCGGUGGUCUCUGAGGUUAGGCGAUAUCUUACAUGUCCAUGUUUGAUGGAUAAAGCAAUAAAGACCAAGAUCUACAUACAUUUUCUGUUACCACAGUCUGUGGGCCAUACUUCCCUACUUUGCCACAUCUGCCUCUAUCCAAGAAGGGUGUCCAAGUUUAAUUUUAAACAUUCUCUGAUCUCACAGGAGUCUGUGGUUUGUUAGCCUCUGUCUCUAUAACACAUGCACAACAGCAGUGUGAUGCUCAACUAAGUGUCCUUUCAGAGUAUGAUGACAAUUAACUUCGUCUGGCAGUGUUGUUUACUUACCCUGUUCUGGCUCUGCUGUCUGAACACAGUCACAACCAAGUGUAAAGACCCUGAGGCAAUGGCUGUCAGACCUGGCUAAAGUAAAACUUAGCUUUGCGUGCACCAUGUUUGUUUUUCAGGAGCAGAUUCACCUCUAUGAUUGCUGGGAAAAAAAUCACACACAACUCCCAUGCAAUAAUGCAUUUUUACAGAGAAGGUUGAAGUCUUAGCCUUUGCCCUCUGAAAUCCCCUUUCCCAAGCUCUCCCUUCAAGAGUGCAAAAACAGCACUUAUUUAAGUUGUCAGUGACCUCUGCUUACUUCAGCCGACCUCAUGUUCAUGCCUUGCUGGACCUACUGCAUUUAAUCGUUUUUACCUUAGCAUUGUAGGACAACUGGAGUGUGCCAACCAAUAUUUUUGGAGCAAGUCUGUCAUGGUUUAUUCUCCACUUUACCAAGUAACAGCAAUUAAUCUCUGGCGGUCAAGACAGAGCCAAAGCUGUUCCUACAGUCCAGGGUAUUCCCCAGGGCGUUCCUCAGGGCUCCAUACUCGGUCCCUUCCGCUCCACAUUUACAUUCGUCCUCUUGGGAACAAAAGUCAUCUGACAGGAAUGUAACAAAACCAAACUUCACCCAGUUUAAAAAAAAGUUCUUGCGCUCAUGCAGCUUGACCAUGUUUUGGAUUCUUUACUUUUUGUGUGGGGAGCCAGUUGUCCAUUAGUCUUCAUUUAUCCAUUCCAGAGGACCUGCUCUCUAGUUUUUCAUUCAUUAAUAGACUGGUUCUAAUUGCCUUCCACCCUUAAUUGUGUGAUAAGUAAUUACUCCAGUGUUUCCAGAUUAAUAUUCUCAUUGCAAAAAUGACCAGUCAAGGUAACUGAAUGCCAUCUCCCCUAAUGUCACUUCACAUAGACCCAAUCCAGUGGGUACAAAUAAACAAGCAGCAAACUACCUAAUGGAAAAUAAAAUACCAAUUUUCAAUUUGCUCUUGACAUGUGAUUCUGUUCUAAAGUAAUGGGUACCCAAAAUUGCCAUUACAAUAAGUAGUUAAGGGUUUUCUUGCAUAAAAGUCCUCAUUUCCAGCGGUGAAUGAUCCACUGGCGAUUGUAGAAGUGCAUGCAGCACUGACGUAAGCCAGCAUUGACACCACACAUUUUUCUCCUGGCCACGUCCCUAUUAAUGCUUGACAGAGCUGUUAACCGAAUGGUGUUGCAGGGCUCUACGUCCCUUGCAUGUACCUGCUGGAAACAGUCGCACUGGAAGUGACUCUACUAGGACUAAAUGAAGCUGGAUGUAUCUGACUAAUCUGACGCAGCAGUGGACCUCAGCAGGGCUCAGGCUUUUGUCCAGGUUUGACGGAAACUUUCUUAAAGGAAUUGGGGAGAUCGCUUUGCUUUAUCAUGCUCACAGGUGGUGUGCUUGUAUAAUCGUUAGUCUGUAAUGUUCUAACCCAGGUUUCAAUGGAAUCUGCCUCAUACAAUACAGGCACGUGUGUUUUUCUGGCCAGCAGGGGGAGCCUUAGAAUGUCAAAAAGAAUCAUCUGUCUUUUUUUGUCAUGCAGAUGGAAUUAUGCUUUGGCACUUGCGCUUUCUUGUAAUUUCCACCAUAAAACUGUUCCCUUUGUGCUGACUGUGGGCUAUACCUCAUUCAGCAGUCUUAUACCUGGGAAGUAGUCAUUUCCAUUCAGGAUAUAUGUAGGUAGCUGUGUGUCUUUAAAAGCCUCACAGUGGUCUGCCUCACAGGCUGGACUUCCUGGGCCUGAGACCAGUGCGCAGCAGUGGAAUCUGCCCAGCCCACAGAUGGGGGGCAGAGCCGUGCUUUUUUCAAAUAGGAUGUGCAGUUUCUGGGGUUCAUCGGUACUUGGAAUAGUAAGGUUCACCAAUUCACAUCGGUGCACCAGCAAAAAAGUUCACAAUGCGAAUACCCCAAUUAAAAAAGCGUGUACCGGCUACAAUUUGGGAUUGCAUUGCUUCUAACAUCUUAGCAAUGGUUUUAUUAAUUUAUUCGAUGAUUUAUUCAUACAUAAUUAUUAGUAGAGGCCCUAUGCCUUUAUUACUUAGAAAUGUGACAAAUCAUUUUUGACCAAUAAUUUUAUAUUUAGAUUAAUUCCCCCUCUCUGAAAUGUUUCUGUAUCUGUAGCAUAUUGACUCGCAUAACAUCAUAUUCUUUUGCAUUGUAUUGUGUUCAAUCAAAUCGUGCCGAAUCGCACUGCAUUGCAAUAGGGGUGAAUCACAUCAUAUCGCAUUAGUAUUUGCUACAUAUGUAUCUUUAAUGUAUCAUAUCGCUGCCAGUGAAUCAAGAUGUGUAUCGCGUUGGUCUCAGUGAUGGAGAUGCACAUCCCUAACUGGUACCAUACAUUCGCCUAAGUUGCAAGAUUUUGGAGCAGGUAGAUGGUGUCUAAGGGCCCGCUGGCUGAGAGAGCUGCUAGGGUGACUGUGUGAAGGGAACGCUCCUGCAGCCCUGAGGAGCAGCAGGCAGUCAGCUGUCAAAGAGUCAUGUGGUUUGAACAGAAAACAAACAGCAAGGCGCAGAGCGGAAGUGCAACUGGAAUCGGCUUACUUUCAAAUGGGGUUAUCGAAAUCAUCCGGCAUGGAGGACUUGCGGUGUGUUUACCACAGGGAGGGAGGGAGGGAGAGGGAGGAACAGAGAGUGUGCGAGGCUGGUGGUGACCUGGGAGACACCCUGGACAGCAAGAGCUGACACACUGAGUAAGGCAGACUAUAUCUGAGCUUUGUGAUGAGAUUAGGUGGCUACGCUCGAUCAAGGACGACUUAUUUUGCUUAUGUUGAUGUGUCAUGAAAUUAUUCCCAACCACUUUUCACCCCCAAGUUAGACCAUUCAACCUGCCCCUAAUCGCACCCAGUCGCCCAAAUUAUACACCUGACAGCCCUCCUUUCGUCCCUCUCUUUUCACUCUUCUUUUCCUGUACAUCUCACAGUAUUGUUGGUCUAUCUUCUUUCACCUUCAGAUAUGUGUGCGUGUAAAUGCACCCUCACAACCUCAGAGCUACAAAAUUGAUCCGUUGAUUGAAUCAAUCUGCUCCACACUGAGCGAAAUGGACACAGGCGACCUAUGUAAGCAGCAUUUAACUCUUCUGUAAACACCAUUUAUGUCCCCAUCGAUAUUCUGCACGUUCCUGGGGAGAGCUCCUGUAAUCACAUGCCCAAAGUCUACCCCCCCCCCCCCAGUCAAGUCUUCCUUCACAUGACAACUGGGCCUGCUGGGAUUGGAUGGUUCCCACAAACGAUGCAUUGUGAUCACGCCUCCAGUUCAGUGGGAUUUAGUCCCAGGGGAUAAAGUGUCUGGAAUUAUAACCUCAUUCCAGCUGCCCGUCAUCACUGGGUUAACAGCUCAAUCAUCAGGGUCUUUAGGGGACCAACCUGGUAUUAGUGUGUGCGAGGGGGAAUGAGGGGGGAGAGGGAGAACAGAAAGAUAGGAACCCCAUCUCAUCUCAACAGUGAAGUGGGCUGCUUUGGCAUCUCCAGCUGUGCUCGCCUUGUUUCUGAACCCAGCAUGAGAGAGACCAGCAGGUGGAUUUAGGGGCUGGGGACAUAGAAUGGGCGUGGCAACUUUCCAGGAGUUCAGGUCAGCUAUCCACAAGACCUAUUUCUGUCUGGGACAAAGUGUGGAACAUUCAGAAUGGAGCAGAGCUCAACUGCACACUGAGGAGUGUCAUGCAAAGUUAUUUUCCCUCCAAACAAACUAAAAAGAAUGAUGGCCCACAAUACCACAGAGACCUUUCUUUUACUCUGAACUGGGACCAGUUACUUAAGUCCUGCACCUUAACCACCACGCCACAGCCGCCCAUCUUGUUUAGACACUCGGCUGAUGGAACACUGCUGCCGACAGGAAGCCUGGCAUGGUGUUGAUGUUUCUGACCAACACACACCCAUCCCCAAUGCUCCAGGCAGGAAGCCUAAUGAAGGUUCUCCCGGGAAAAGGUGCUUUUGGACCUGAAUUUGGGAUAUUUUAAUGUGCUGUGUGUAAUCUGGGAUCAAAGUGUGUGUCUGUGUGCGUGCAUGUGUGUGUGGGGUUAAUUACGACUGCUUCAAAUGAGGGACUCUGAUUUUGUACUGCAAUAGCAUCCACCAGGGAGAUCCGCAAGGAGAAGUCUACCAACAAAAAUAAUUGACUCUGCUAAUAUUCCCUUGGGCGCAGAUUAUCAUGCUGUCUGCAGAGGCAAGUCCCCCACCCCCCCUCAGAUGGGGGGCAGCUGGACCUCAGAUGCAUGCUUUUUCUGCAAACAGUUCCCCACUUGUUCCUCACCUUUCCUCAAGCUUUACUUAGCGUCUAUUCACUACAUCCAGCAAAUGAUGACAUCUACUGCCAUCUGACCUGUUAGAAUAACAUGUAGAAUUUAUCACCUCUGCACCCCCCACCCACAAUUCCUCUGUUCCACCCCUUCUACCGGUCUAACCAUACCUUUGCUGGGCCCAUGGACGUCACAAAUCCCCUGCCCACGGCUCAUGUGCUCCAACAGCUCCCCCCUGUAUAACCCCACCCUCUGCCUGCUUCCCUAACCCUCAGCCUGGCCAUCCACAGAAGCACCUGAGAUCAGUUGUGCUUGGAAAAUCAUGAGUCCAGAAUGUUACUAUGAUGCUGUAGUUGGCAAACAAACAAAUUUAACUGAACCACAGCAUUUAGACAUAAAAGCCUGCAUUUUCUAACAUACACAAAAUACCUCAAAGAGCUUGGCUAAGAGCCAGUGAUCGCAGUGAAUGGGCCCUAAUAAUCUCGUUAUCAGGAGGCCUAAACUCAAAAGCAGCAACACAACUCUGUUGUGUGGUGAGGGGUUUACCUUGG